rnacentral:SRP_RNA from 1 species
GCCGGGCACAGUGGCACGUGCCUGUAGUCCCAGCUACUCGGGAGGCUAAGGUGGGAGGAUCGCUUGAGUCCAGGAGUUCUGGGCUGUAGUGUGCUAUGCUGAUUGGGUGUCCGCACUAAGUUCAGCAUCAAUAUGGUGACCUCCUGGAAGCGGGGGACCGCCAGAUUUCCUAAGGAGAGGUGAACUGGCCCAGGUGGGAUACGAAGCAGGUCAAAACUCCUGUGCUGAUUAGUAGUGGGCUUGCGCCUGUGAAUAGCCACUGCACUCCAGCCUGGGCAACAAAGUGAGACCCUGUCUCU